GCACUGUUGAGCGGUCCCAUAAUAGGACGAAACGGCCGUCCAGUGC
rfam:Schistosoma mansoni, Puerto Rico, WGS project CABG01000000 data, contig: 0208